rnacentral:rRNA from 1 species
AACGAACGCUGGCGGCAGGCCUAACACAUGCAAGUCGAGCGAGACCUUCGGGUCUAGCGGCGGACGGGUUAGUAACGCGUGGGAACGUGCCCUUCUCUGCGGAAUAGCCACUGGAAACGGUGAGUAAUACCGCAUACGCCUUCGGGGAAAGAGUUUAUCGGAGAAGGAUCGGCCCGCGUUAGAUUAGAUAGUUGGUGGGUAACGGCCUACCAAGUCUACGAUCUAUAGCUGGUUUUAGAGGAUGAUCAGCAACACUGGGACUGAGACACGGCCCAGACUCCUACGGGAGGCAGCAGUGGGGAAUCUUAGACAAUGGGCGCAAGCCUGAUCUAGCCAUGCCGCGUGUGUGAUGAAGGUCUUAGGAUCGUAAAGCACUUUCGCCAGGGAUGAUGAUGACAGUACCUGGUAAAGAAACCCCGGCUAACUCCGUG